rnacentral:tRNA from 1 species
GCGGGAGUGGCGGAAUUGGCAGACGCGCUAGACUUAGGAUCUAGUGGGCAUUGCUCGUGGGGGUUCAAAUCCCUUCUCCCGCACCA